rnacentral:rRNA from 1 species
GGCUCAGAUUGAACGCUGGCGGAAUGCUUUACACAUGCAAGUCGAACGGUAGAGGGGGCAACCCUCGAGAGUGGCGAACGGGUGAGUAAUAUAUCGGAACGUGCCCAGUAGUGGGGGAUAACUGCUCGAAAGAGCAGCUAAUACCGCAUACGACCUGAGGGUGAAAGCGGGGGAUCGCAAGACCUCGCGCGAUUGGAGCGGCCGAUAUCAGAUUAGGUAGUUGGUGAGGUAAAGGCUCACCAAGCCGACGAUCUGUAGCUGGUCUGAGAGGACGACCAGCCACACUGGAACUGAGACACGGUCCAGACUCCUACGGGAGGCAGCAGUGGGGAAUUUUGGACAAUGGACGCAAGUCUGAUCCAGCCAUUCCGCGUGCAGGACGAAGGCCUUCGGGUUGUAAACUGCUUUUGUACAGAACGAAAAGGUCUCUAUUAAUACUAGGGGCUCAUGACGGUACUGUAAGAAUAAGCACCGGCUAACUACGUG